AGGGACAAUAGAAGAAGAGGCAGGCAGAAGAUCGCCACCAGACCAUUCUUCAAAAAUUGAUUCCCUAGCAGCAACAGCAACACUCUGCCGCUCAACAAUAAGCUGGCGCAGAGAAGGAAGAUCCAAGGUUGACGACCGAGGAUCCAAAAUAUUUAAAAUUCGAUCCAGCUCCUCAAUCUCUCCCUGAAUAAAAUCAGCAAAGAGACUCACAAGAAGAG
rnacentral:lncRNA from 1 species